UUGCGCAGGUGAUCAGCCAUUCCGCGUGCAGGAAGAAGGACCUAUGGUUUGUAUACUGCUUUUGUACGGGAGAAAACCCUUGCUCGUGAGCAAGGCUGAUAGUACCGUAAGAAUAAGCAUCGGCUAACUUCGUGCCAGCAGCCGCGGUAAGACGAAGGAUGCAAGCGUUAUCCGGAUUCAUUGGGUUUAAAGGGAGCGUAGGUGGCUUUGUAAGUCAGUGGUGAAAUCUUCUCGCUUAACGAGAAAACUGCCAUUGAUACUGCAGAGCUUGAGUACAGAUGCCGUUGGCGGAAUAUGACAUGUAGUGGUGAAAUACAUAGAGAUGUCAUAGAACACCGAUUGCGAAGGCAGCUAACGAAACUGUAACUGACACUGAGGCUCGAAAGUGCGGGGAUCAAACAGGAUUAGAUACCCUGGUAGUCCGCACUGUAAACGAUGAUUACUCGCUGCUGGAAGGCAACUUUCAGUGGCUUAGCGAAAGCGAUAAGUAAUCCACCUGGGGAGUACGCCGGCAACGGUGAAACUCAAAGGAAUUGACGGGGGCCCGCACAAGCGGAGGAGCAUGUGGUUUAAUUCGAUGAUACGCGAGGAACCUUACCAGGGGCUUGAAAGUUAAGGAAUGAUUAUGAAAGUAGUCAGUCAGCAAUGACCUGAAACUAGGUGCUGCAUGGCUGUCGUC
rnacentral:rRNA from 1 species